GAUACCCCAGUAUACUUAUUCUUAAAUUUUAAAGCUAGAUUAUUAGUAGGUAAGUUCUUGAAAUUCAGAGAAUUUGGCGGUAUCUUAAUCUUAUUAGAGGAACCUGUUUUAUAAACGAUACACCACGAAGAAUCUUAUUUGCUUUAAAUAGUUUGUAUACCGUCAUUAUUAGAUAAUUUUGAAAAAAAUAAUUAUUAUAAUUAAUGAAUUUUAAAUAUAUUAGAUCAAGGUGCAGCUUAUAGGCAAGAAAUAAAUGGGUUACACUAAACUAGUUUAGAUGGAGGUUGGCUCUUAACAGGCCACUGAAGGCGGAUUUGAUUGUAUACUUAAUUUAACAUGUUAGGUAGAAAUUGGCGCUAAGAUAUGUACAUAUCGCCCGU
rnacentral:rRNA from 1 species